rnacentral:rRNA from 1 species
GUAGGUGGCAAGCGUUGUCCGGAAUUAUGGGCGUAAAGCGCGCGCAGGUGGGUUCUUUAAGUCUGAUGUGAAAGCCCCCGGGCUCAACCGGGGAGGGUCAUUGGAAACUGGGGAACUUGAGUGCAGGAGAGGAAAGUGGGAUUCCACGUGUAGCGGUGAAAUGCGUAGAUAUGUGGAGGAACACCAGUGGCGAAGGCGACUUUCUGGCCUGUAACUGACACUGAGGCGCGAAAGCGUGGGGAGCAAACAGGAUUAGAUACCCUGGUAGUCCACGCCGUAAACGAUGAGUGCUAAGUGUUGGGGGGUUUCCGCCCCUCAGUGCUGCAGCUAACGCAUUAAGCACUCCGCCUGGGGAGUACGGUCGCAAGACUG